UCCGAAAGUCCUCCGCUCCCCUCCCUCGUUGGGCGCCGCCAUGACGGGCCAGCCAGCGCCGGAAGCGGAAGCUACGCCGCGCGGUCCGACCAGAAGGAGGACUGCGGGCGGCGGUCAUGUGGGAGGGGGUGGUCAGAGCUCAAAGGGAGCAGAAAUCCCAGCAGCCUUGAGAAGAUCUGGACAAGUUAUGCCAUGGGGAUCCAUCCCUAUUUUUCACACUGCUGGUUAGGUAUCUGGCAGGGAGGACAAUUCCCUGCAGUUUAUCAUUAGCCAGAAAAGCUCUUUCUUCUCUUCUUCUCCAAAUGUCAAGUUUUCUGCCUAGCAGAUGCUCCAGAUCCUAAACUAUCCUGAAGUGCCGAUGUACUCACCAUCUACAGUCAUGUUCUUCAGUACCUCCUGGUACUGAAAAUGGAUUUCUAUUGAGAGUGUUGGGACUUCAGAACUCCAACAUUGACCUGCUUCCCUAGAAUUAAUGGGGAGAUGUGUUUCACUUCAGAAAAUUCCCUAGACAUGUAAAAAACCACUUUCUGGGUUGUGAAUCAGACAAAAUGCACCUUUUGUCAUCUUC